UCGGAGGAAGUGGGGACGACGUCAAAUCAUCAUGCCCCUUAUGUCUUGUGACUCACGCAUGCAACAAUGACCGGUACAAAGGGUUGCGAUACUGUGAGGUGUAGCUAAUCCCAAAAAGCGGUCUCAGUUCGGAUUGGGGUCUGCAACUCGACGCCAUGCAGUCGGAGUCGCUAGUAAUCGCAGAUCAGCAACGCUGCGGUGAAAUACGUCCCGGGCCCUGUACACACCGCCCGUCAAGUCACGAAAGUUGGUAACACCCGAGGCCGGUGGCCCUAACCACUUGUUGGAAGGGAGCUGUCGAAGGUGGGACUGGGCGAUGGGGACUAAGUCGUAAC
rnacentral:rRNA from 1 species